rnacentral:rRNA from 1 species
GGAAGUCUCGGAGCCGGGUGUUGGUUCCGGUAGCGAUCGAGGGAAGUUAGUACCGAAGUCUGAGAUGGAAGAUGGCGAGAAAAGCUGUGUGAAUUUCUGCGGUGCCCGUACCGCAAACCGACACAGGUAGGUAGGAAGAAGAUUCUAAGGCCAACGGGAGAAGGGUUGUUAAGGAACUCGGCAAAUUGACCCCGUAACUUCGGGAGAAGGGGUGCUGCAGCAAUGCAGCCGCAGAGAAUCGGCCCAAGCAACUGUUUACCAAAAACACAGGUUUGUGCUAAAUCGAAAGAUGACGUAUACGAGCUGACGCCUGCCCGGUGCUGGAAGGUUAAGAGGAGAUGUGCAAGCAUUGAAUCGAAGCCCCAGUGAACGGCGGCCGUAACAAUAACGGUCCUAAGGUAGCGAAAUUCCUUGUCAGGUAAGUUCUGACCCGCAUGAAAGGCGUAAUGAUUUGGGCACUGACUCAACAGCCCGCCCGGCGAAAUUGUAGUACCGGUGAAGAUGCCGGUUACCCGCGACAAGACGGAAAGACCCCAUGGAGCUUUACUGUAGCCUAAUAUUGGGUUUCGAUGUUGCAUGCACAGGAUAGAUGGGACACAGGGAAGCAGGUGCUUUGGCGCUUGUGGAGUGGCCGUUGGGAUACCAUCCUUGCGAUAUUGGAAUUCUAACCUGCGCCUUUGAAUCAAGGCGGGGGACAUUGUUAGGUGGGCAGUUUGACUGGGGCGGUCGCCUCCUAAAGAGUAACGGAGGCGUUCAAAGGUUCGCUCAGCUUGAACGGAAAUCAAGCAAAAGAGUGCAAACGCAGAAGCGAGCCUAACUGCGAGACUGACGGGUCGAGCAGUAACGAAAGUUGGAGUUAGUGAUCCGGUGGUAUGUGAGUGGAAAUGCCAUCGCUCAACGGAUAAAAGUUACCCUGGGGAUAACAGGCUGAUCUCCCCCAAGAGUCCACAUCGACGGGGAGGUUUGGCACCUCGAUGUCGGCUCAUCGCAUCCUGGGGCUGUAUUCGGUCCCAAGGGUUUGGCUGUUCGCCAAUUAAAGCGGUACGCGAGCUGGGUUCAGAACGUCGUGAGACAGUUCGGUCCCUAUCUGUCGUGGGCGCAGGAUAUUUGAUGGGAGCUGUUCCUAGUACGAGAGGACCGGAGCGGACGUACCUCUGGCGCACCAGUUGUUCUGCCAAGAGCAUAGCUGGGCAACUAUGUACGGAUCGGAUAAACGCUGAAAGCACCUAAGCGUGAAGCCGACCCAAAGAUAAGAUAUCCCAUUGUUUCAAACAAGUAAGACCCCUUGAAGACUACAAGGUUGAUAGGCACGAUGUGUAAGUGGAGCGAUCCAUUCAGCAAGCGUGUACUAAUAGGUCGAGGGCUUGACC